rnacentral:rRNA from 1 species
AUGGUGGAGGCAUCGUGGAGCAACUCCCCUCCGUCUGCCAAGCAUCACCAAGGUGAGGCGUCUGGCAAGGAGCCGCUGGUGGUCGACGAUGACAUUCCGGUCCCCGGGCAGAAGCAGGACUACACCGUGAAGCUCAUGGUUGAUAUCCACCUGAAGGAGAAGCUGGAUGUCGUAUGCACCAGCAAUCCAGACGAAGCCGACAAGAGGAUCCGCGAGAUCAGGAGGAGGCUCGGCGGCAUGUUUCCUCGGUCGAUCGGCGUUGAUGUCGAGUAUACGAGGGAAGAUGAACAUCCGCAAAAGGCUGCAGUUCUACAGUUAUGCGUGGAGGAUCUUGUCCUGGUAUACCACAUCACCGCGGCAACCAAAUGGCCUAAGGAACUCCGCCCGCUCCUGCAGGAGAAGAAGCUCUACACCUUUGUUGGCUUCUCCAUUGGAGGUGACAAGGAGAAGCUGAAAUUGUCUGGUUUGGAGAUCAACCCCGACAAGUACGUCGACAUGCAGCGCAAAUGGAGAGUUCCAAGGAAUGGAAAGAAGUGGCAGGCUUUGGCUGAGUUUGCAGCCAGCCUCAUCCACCCAUCGUACAAGGAAAUGAAGAAGAAGAUCAACAAGGAAUUGGACCACAAACUAUGGAGGGACAGCCCACUGCCAAACAACCUCAUCGAGUACGCAGCGAAAGAUGCGUACGUCACCUACGAGGCAUGGAAGAAAAUCGAUAUCGUCAAAGAAGGUUUGAAGUACUGGCAAGAGGCGGAGGAUCAUUGGGAUGACCCCUACUACUGGGGAUAUUGA